CUAGUCCCAAAGCUUUACUAAUACAAAUAAACUUUCUCUCAAGACCACGAGCAACAUUCCUCUAUUCUAUAAAAUCCCCAACCUGCUCUUUGUUCUUUGGACAUACUGAAAAACACCUGGUCUGUGUGUAUGACCCAAAUUGCAAUUCUUAUAUCCCAAAUAAAAUGUUAUAUUUAGAGAUUUGUCUCUACCUUUUAAUGUUGACUUCAGUACAAGCUUCCUAUCUAUUUCACUUCUAGGAACGCCAUAAUCAACUAUCCAACAUCACAUAUUCACACAAGUCAGACUAUUCUGAUUGUUACUUUGUCUCUUCUGUCCAUUAUGGUAGUCACACCCACCUUGUCUUAGGUGGUUGAGUUCCCCUCUUGGCUCCUCCCACCCUGAGAUCAGUUGCUGUCAUUGCAUUUAAUUUUCCAAUUGAGUGACUGUGGUUCCCACUGUAAGGUCUGCCCAGAGAGAAAAGCAAUGAAACAGCUCUUGAAGGAUGCUGGGGCUCCCCUCACAAACCCAUUUCUUACAAUAUUGGUGAAAGGUGUGUCUGGACUAGUGUGGGUAAGUAUGUCUAAAAUGGCAAAUCUACUCUAAUUCCAAUCUCUUCAAUUCCCUUCCUCUACAUUAAAACAAGGGAUAUCUGGCACCUCCAACUUGCUCAUUGUAGGCCGCCUUUUAAUCUGUUUCCCCUAACCAACUAAACUAUUAGGUCUUUUUUACACGCCCAGGGCUGCAGCAUUCAGUGCAGAAUCUCUGCUUAGUGGGCCCACAUCAAUACAUUUGGCCUGAUCCGACUUUAUGGUCUUUCCACCAUUAUCCUGCAUGUUUAAUGGAUCCUUAAGAUCCAUUUCCACACAUUUACUGGAUUUCUGCCUGUAUGAAUUAGAAAACUCAAGUAGUUCUUUUGGAUUGUGGCACACCUCCUCCUGGGUCCUGCUAUGUCCUCACCUUUGGGGGCCUGCUGGGCCUUGAGUCUAGUUAUAGGUCUAGUAAAGACAGGUGGGUCCUAAGGAAACUCAGCAUUGUCUUGCAUGACAACUGCCUCAGGGGAGGUCUUUAUCAUUUCCUCCAGCAAUGCAGGGUUAAUCUCCUCAGGCCAAGGCCAACACCACGAAGGGUGUGAAGGCUGCUUCCCCUGGGGAUGGGGAGGCUAGUUUUGCUGUGGAUGGGAAGACAACUCCCGUGGGCAAAGAGAAUUCAUCAGAAUUUAGGAGCUCAAUGUCUCCCAGUUUCAUCAGGAUAUUCCCAUACACCCCCAUCCCAAUUUACAGGUUGUCAUCCUCUCCCAAUCAAUACCCUCACUUUAAUAGUAGACAUCCUGGGAGGCUGGGAGUUCAGCUUUUGCUGUAAUUCAGCCAGUCACAUGGUGAGGACUUGUGUUUGAUUUUCAGCAGUUUCAACCCUGUGGCUACAGAGGGUCAUCCCUCAUGGUGGCCCUGACAGGGCGUGGGGGAGAGAGGCUAGGGCAUCUGUGGUCUUCUUUUGGGAGAUAUGGGGCUCACCCUCUGCACUUUGCCUAAGCUGCAUCCCACACUUUCUGGGCAACCUCCUAUGUCUCAACUCCUGGCCCUGCUGUGCCCCCAGAAGGCUCCUCUUGACAGGCCACCCUCUUAGGCAGGGUCCUUUUGGGAUGACUCACACCUGAUACCUUGAGGACCAGCAUCACUUGCAACCUUGUCUGUCCACACGGUGCACCUGAAGCGUCUCCACUGCCAGCCCUCUUCCCAGCUUUUCCAGCAACGGAUGUCCAUAGCCUGCCCUCCUACCCAGGAGUGGUGUCCAUCUCUGUCUCAGGGAUGCUACUGGUCUGUUUGCUCACAGCAGGGAUGGGCCUGCGAGUGCCGGCGCUGAGCAGGCAGCCUGCAGCCCUGAGCCGGCUCCCACUUCAGGGCCAUAGAGGGCGGGGAAGGGGGCAGGGCCUGGCAGAGGCUGGAGAUGCUUGGAUGGGGGCCAACAGCAGGGGGAUGGGGGAAGGCAGCGCCUAGCAGCUAUCCUUGAAAUGAGUGUUUUCGCAGCCAAAGCUCAGGUGUAGGCCCACUCCCCCAUGCCACGGCCUUUUGAACAUGUGGAACCAGGACUCGGAACGUCCUGUUUUAAAGUGGGAGGGUGGUGGCGCGGUUGAUCUGAUCUCUGUCCCAAAUAAGGCUCUUGAGGAGGACGCAGGGCACUUCCAGGGCGAGGGUGCCGCUGGGCUCUGACAAGCCCUUUGGGGACUCGUGGAGUCGUGGGAAUGCCAGCUGACUCAGCGAGGGCGGCCUUGGCCACAGCAAGGUACCCUUCCCUACUUUCUGUCUUUCGUGGUGAGGCGAUUUUAAAAACGCAGUCUGAGCAGCCCUUGCCAUUGUCCUGCUGUGUACCCAGCACUUAGUGUGUCAGCUGGUCCGUGUGGACGGCCCAGUCCCUCCAGUGGCAUCCCUACCGGUGACCCCUCCUGCCUGCACCAUCGUUCCAAGUCUCAGGGCCGGCGCACAGGCGGGGCGCGGGGCUCUUGGCGCCCCUGCGCUCGGAACGGCUGCUUCCGGGCUGGGUGGCUGCUGUCGCCCAACACGCGGCCUCCGCAGAACAGUGGGCUGAGGUCGGUCCAGGACGGCGGUCCCAGCCCUAGGACCGGCGUACAGUAGAGGGCCCGGCAAAGGCCUCGGCCCAGCGGGGAAGUCGCGCCCUCCUGCGGCGCUGACGGGGACAGCAGGGCUCUCGGGCCGUCCUCUGGCUGUGCCCCGCCCCGGGGGACGCUGGGCGGACUGCGGGGCGUGCCCGGGGGCGCUGCAGUGUGUGCGGACUCGCAGUGGGUGCUCACUGUCGGCCAGAGCCAAGGCGUUCGGCCGCCUCGGCCUGAGGAAUGAAGGCGCCUUGUGUCGCUUUAGCAGGCAGCAGUGACCCGUGGCGCGUCCCCGGGGACCCGACUGCGGGGCCAGUGGUGCGAAGCCAGUCCUGUGCCCGGGCCUGGUCCUCCCAGCCUCUAGGAAAGCGGAUCUCGCUCUCGGUCGCUGUUCACUGAAGAUGUGAGGAGUGCGCUGGCCGCAGCAGCCCAGGUGGCCCCUUGCCUGCCUGGCCAAUCAAGGGUGGCAUGUGAAUGCCACCAGCCAACAAGCACAGGGACCACACAGCGACCUGCUCACUAGCUGUAAAUGCCACCAUUAUGAUUGGAAUUGUAUGUCCCCCAACUCACAUGUUGAAGCCCUAGCCUCAGUACCUCAGAAUGGGGCUGUGUUUGGAGGUAGGGCCUUUAGAGAGGUGACUCAGUUACAUCGAGGCCUUCAGGGUGAGCCCUCCAUUCAGUGUGACUGGGGUCCUGAAAAGAAGACAAUGUUUGGGCAUUCAGAAAGACACAGGACCACAGGCUGUGUGUGCACAGAAGAAAGGCCACGAGAAGGUGACCAUCUGCAAGCCACAGAGGGAGACCUCGGGGGAACCGACUCUGCCGGCACCUUCAUUGUGAACCUGCAGCCUCCAGAGCUGUGAGAAAUACAUUUCUGUUGUUUAAGCCUCCCAGUCUGUAGUAUGUUGUUAUGGCAGCUGGAGUGAACUAGCACAGCCACUGGAGUUUGGCCAACAAGCACACUGAAGCCAUGAGAAGUGAACCAUUUGUUUCAGAGAAGUGUAAUCAAGCCAAAAAGAAAACAAUCUCCCUUAGCACUCAGGGUGAACGCCAACCUUGAGCUGACUGUCAUUGUGGAAAACUGGGGCCUUCUUGACUGACCUAACUGGACAGAUGGCGAUGGAGGAGGAGGCUGUGCUGACACAUUCGGCUGAGCUCCUGCCUGUGCUUCCCAGCAGCUGCCCACACCAGCCACAGGGAUCACGCCCAACCUGCCUGGAGCACCGGUGAGACGUACGGAGCCAUAAGGAGAGACUUCUGCAUUCUGGUGACCAACUGACUCCACCUGGACCCGUGAUUCCUGACUCAACAGGUCCUGUGGCCCCCACCCAGAAGUUGACUUAGCACAUGAGGACCAUUUUCCACAUCCCUAUGACUUCAUCCCCAGUCAGCAUCAUCCAUUCCCUAGCCCCCUGCCUGACAAUUUAUCCAUAAAAACUCUAGCCUCUGAAUUCUCAGGGAGGUUGAUUUGAGUAAUAAACUCCAUCUUCCAAUUGGCUAGCCCUGUGUUAAUUAAACUCUUUUUUAAAUUAUUU
rnacentral:lncRNA from 10 species